CUUGCUCUCCGGGUGACGAGCGGCGGACGGGUGAGUAAUGUCUGGGAAACUGCCUGAUGGAGGGGGAUAACUACUGGAAACGGUAGCUAAUACCGCAUAACGUCUUCGGACCAAAGUGGGGGACCUUCGGGCCUCACGCCAUCAGAUGUGCCCAGAUGGGAUUAGCUAGUAGGUGGGGUAAUGGCUCACCUAGGCGACGAUCCCUAGCUGGUCUGAGAGGAUGACCAGCCACACUGGAACUGAGACACGGUCCAGACUCCUACGGGAGGCAGCAGUGGGGAAUAUUGCACAAUGGGCGCAAGCCUGAUGCAGCCAUGCCGCGUGUGUGAAGAAGGCCUUCGGGUUGUAAAGCACUUUCAGCGAGGAGGAAGGGUGGUGUGUUAAUAGCGCAUCACAUUGACGUUACUCGCAGAAGAAGCACCGGCUAACUCCGUGCCAGCAGCCGCGGUAAUACGGAGGGUGCAAGCGUUAAUCGGAAUUACUGGGCGUAAAGCGCACGCAGGCGGUUUGUUAAGUCAGAUGUGAAAUCCCCGCGCUUAACGUGGGAACUGCAUUUGAAACUGGCAAGCUAGAGUCUUGUAGAGGGGGGUAGAAUUCCAGGUGUAGCGGUGAAAUGCGUAGAGAUCUGGAGGAAUACCGGUGGCGAAGCGGCCCCCUGGACAAAGACUGACGCUCAGGUGCGAAAGCGUGGGGA
rnacentral:rRNA from 1 species